rnacentral:rRNA from 1 species
UGUGCCCAGAUGGGAUUAGCUAGUAGGUGGGGUAAUGGCUCACCUAGGCGACGAUCCCUAGCUGGUCUGAGAGGAUGACCAGCCACACUGGAACUGAGACACGGUCCAGACUCCUACGGGAGGCAGCAGUGGGGAAUAUUGCACAAUGGGCGCAAGCCUGAUGCAGCCAUGCCGCGUGUAUGAAGAAGGCCUUCGGGUUGUAAAGCACUUUAAGUUGGGAGGAAGGGCAGUUUCCUAAUACGAAAUUGUUUUGACGUUACCGACAGAAUAAGCACCGGCUAACUCUGUGCCAGCAGCCGCGGUAAUACAGAGGGUGCAAGCGUUAAUCGGAAUUACUGGGCGUAAAGCGCGCGUAGGUGGUUUGUUAAGUUGGAUGUGAAAGCCCCGGGCUCAACCUGGGAACUGCAUUUGAAACUGGCAGGCUUGAGUCUUGUAGAGGGGGGUAGAAUUCCAGGUGUAGCGGUGAAAUGCGUAGAGAUCUGGAGGAAUACCGGUGGCGAAGGCGGCCCCCUGGACAAAGACUGACGCUCAGGUGCGAAAGCGUGGGGAGCAAACAGGGUUAGAUACCCUGGUAGUCCACGCCGUAAACGAUGUCGACUUGGAGGUUGUUCCCUUGAGGAGUGGCUUCCGGAGCUAACGCGUUAAGUCGACCGCCUGGGGAGACGCCGCAA